GAUGAACGCUAGCGGCAGGCUUAAUACAUGCAAGUCGAGGGGUAGCAAGAUUGUAGCAAUACAAUUGUUGACGACCGGCAAACGGGUGCGGAACACGUACACAACCUUCCUACAAGUGGGGAAUAGCCCAGAGAAAUUUGGAUUAAUACCCCGUAACAUAGCGAUGUGGCAUCACAUUGCUAUUAUAGCUUCGGCGCUUGUUGAUGGGUGUGCGGCUGAUUAGAUAGUUGGCGGGGUAACGGCCCACCAAGUCUACGAUCAGUAGCUGAUGUGAGAGCAUGAUCAGCCACACGGGCACUGAGACACGGGCCCGACUCCUACGGGAGGCAGCAGUAAGGAAUAUUGGACAAUGGACGCAAGUCUGAUCCAGCCAUGCCGCGUGAAGGAUUAAGGUCCUCUGGAUUGUAAACUUCUUUUAUAAGGGACGAAAAAAGGUCUUUCUAGAUCGUCUGACGGUACCUCAGGAGAAAGCAUCGGCUAACCCUGUGCCAGCAGCCGCAGUAACAC
rnacentral:rRNA from 1 species